CUUGCGGUCAUAUCACGUUUAAAUACCGGUUCUCAUACGAUCGCCGGAGUUAAGCAACGUCGAGCCUUAUCAGUCCUUAGAUGGAUGACCAGUUCGAGCUACCAGGUGCUGUAA